CGUUAUGUCCCUCGUUAUUAUCGUGCCUCGAUAAUGUUUUUGUAUAAAGCGUUCCUCCUCUGACUGUAUUUCAGAACGUAUACUAAGUGCUGUGAACUCGGUCGCCUCGUCUUCAUUGUAAGGGCGAGCCCGGACUGUGGGGUCCUGAGGGUCCUGGGGGGUCAUGGGGACUUUGGGGUGCUCUGGGGGCAGAGGGCGGCCUGUCCCUUUUAAGUGCCGGUAAUACAAAGACCCCAGUCCGCAAAUGUGGUGCUGUCAUACAGUAAGCGGGUACAUGUGUGAUGUGAUGCCAUGAAUGAAACGUAACUCGACGUAUGGGCACACGUAAAAGUGAACUUAGUUCAAUGAUACGAUAUGAGAUAACGAGAAAAAGUAUACAUAAUACAAUGUUCUAUAAUAUUAUAAAACAUUACAUCCAAGUGUCAGUAUUAUACUUUUACAAUAUAAUAAUCAAUGAAAACUUUCAUGACUUCAGUUUUGUUGAACACAAGCGUUUCUUGUAACAUUACCUCAUAUUCUUGCGGUGUCAUGUACAAUGUGUUCUUGUUGAGGGUUGAGGGUCAACGUAUCACUUAUUUAAUGGUAAAGAUUAUCUAAGUGUGUAUAAUGUCCAGUUUAAUUCCUCGGAAGAUCGUUAUUCUUCAUUAAUAUGUAUCGAGUUCAUUGGAAUCAUCAUCAAAAUAAACGGACCGAGUUCGAGUGAGGCACUGACCUUCCCUCAGACAUCUCCCGCGCCCCGAGUUCACUCACGCGCAUACUGCUCUGUUGGGUAAAAAAUACAUUUAUUAUAAACAAGGACCCGAAUGAAGACUCUCAGUCAUCCUUCUACUCUCUUAUAAAUUUUAAGCGACGUCGUAAGUUACGGUUUUAUGUUUCUAAAUACCAGCAAGUUUUAAUAAGGUAGAUGCAACUCACCAGUUCGUUUAACUUAGCAAGUUAAGAUUAACUUCGAACUUGUCUGUCAUCUUUUUAAUAUAUUAAAUUAUGUACAUUUACUUUCCCAAAGCUAAUAAAGUUACUUUUUUAAAUGAUCACAAAUUAAUGAAUGAUAACAAAGAAGCGGACGAUACAAGUGUUUGUCAGAAACAAAUCAUAUGUGGCUGAUAACGGUGUGAGGCUGGGCAGGCUGGCUGGGCUGGGUUAACGGACACGGAGCGUGUGGUGCGUCAUCGUGUACUUUCCUUUUUACUGUAUUAGAUCGAUUUGAAUCAACUUAAAUUCCUGCAAAUACACAAACAGCUGUUACAGGGUAGAAGAUAGUUCCAUACUCUACUUGUUAUUUCGUAUUCCUAUUUACAAUUAGUAUUCCAACAUUAAACGUUUCUGUCCCAGGAAAACAAACUUGCGGUAAGCAUUUUUAAUGUAAAAUAGUUAAACCGCGUCUAUUAACAAAACUUCACAAACUCUUAACCCUUCUCUUAACCUUUUUCAAUAACCCUCAACUUAGGAGUCCUCGGCUUUCUUUUCUUUCCGCGACCGCUUUAAGCCGGCCCCCGACAAUUCUUGUGAAAACAUGCGAAACGACUUUUCAGCUUACAUUAUACAAUCAACGCUUUACCUGCGUUAUAAUUAGAAAAGUGUACGUGAUGGUAUUACAGUGGAACAUAAACGAAUAUCCCACGUCACUGAUUAACUUAAUGUAGCAACUGCUUCAAUUACUUGUAACAAAUAAAUCUUAGUUGGAUAGGAAGCUUAACAAUGUCAGGCUCAUCCUAGCGCAGGUGCUGAACCCUAAUCCGUCUAAACCCAGCUGUGAGCUUGACGUAUCACUGCCAGCCUCCCGCGGGUGUUCGCGAUCUUGUUACACGUUAUGCUUUACCAAAAAAAGACAAAAAGAACUAUAUCCUUCAAAAUAAAAAAAUAAGCAACUACAAAAUUAGUUUCAAUUUAUUACUGCUUUUACUGCCCGUUACUGCUCCACAAGCAAAAAAUAUUUUAAAAGGAAAGACAUUUAACUGGCAUAUUCAUAGACUUACUAUGAGUCUAAUACACAGUCCUAUAGAAUUGAUGGGCAAAAGAUGCAAGACAAUGCAAAUAUAUAAUAAAUGUCAAAUACCCGGUACACGCAGGGAAUGUGUUCCAUAGAAGUACAAAAGAAAAGUUUCCUUGACCAUAUUCAUACUAAUAACGCUUACCGAACAUAACUUAAAUUUAAUUCCGACCUCAUGAUUUAAACUCAGAAACUACUUUCAUUUAUUUUUUAUUAAAAAAUCUUCUUCCCUUAAUAAUUUUUGUUUUAUAACUUCAACCCUUUUACUUAUUGAUUUCACCACCAGAGAGAGAGCGCGCUUAUUUUUGGUCAAUUUAUAUUCAGCAGCUUAAAUCUAUUCCCCCCGCCAAAGUUUGUCCCGGCGGCGACCGGCGGCCGAAGCGCUGAGUGUGUUGCGGCCUCAGAGUCCACAGGCAGCGGUGCCCGAAUAUUUCAGACCGACGUCGCCUUCGCCCGAAUCUUUGACCUCUCAAGUUAAAACUUAUUUGUGGCAGCUCUCUUACAUUCUUAAUUACACAAAAUUAAAUUCAAUCAUUGUGUUAAAGACUUACAAAGUUAUUAUAGUCCUAAGUGGGUUUUAUGAACCGCCGCCCGCUUUGAUAACUCGAGAAGCCUUUUACCGUCCCACAAUAAUAACUUUAAAGCCUUAAAAGCCCAAUAAAUUCCCCAUAUUUUUUUAGUCUUUAUUGUUUUCAGGUUAGCAAAUCUAUGUAUAUAAUAUUUUUUAAUAAGAAAGAAAUUAUUCCCAAUAAUAUAAAAAAGAGAGUCUUCAUUUCAAAAUAAUAUUUUCUAUUGUAUUAAAAUUGAAGAAAAAAAUUCUAUUUCCUAUAUUAAAAAUGUACUGUACCUUUACAUUAAAGUUAUUUAUAUUUUUUUAAAGAAAAUAAUAGUUUUUUUUUAUUGGGAAUAUAAAAACGAGAUUCAAUUGUAAUCCAAUGGAACGACCCCUGACAAAUGAGAGGAAUAGAGAACAAUUGUCAAACGGCCUACAAUGUACUUACAUUAAAAUGAAAUACACGUACCGACAAACUGGACGUCAUCAAUAAUAUAUUGAGCUGUGUCUUGAGCAUGUUAAUAACGUCAGAUUGAAGUCAUAGUAUAAUAUCUCCGCUUAUUUAAAGAGAAUCUCUCUCGCUGUGGAUCGUUUCGUCUCAGCUGACAAUAAUGUUUUUAUAGAGAGCCAUUAUUUGGAGCGAAUAUUGUCUGUUCUAUUUACGAGAUGGAGUCGCUGGAGUGAGAUGGGGCGUGGGAUGAAGCAACAGUUGAUAUUCAGCGACUGUUGUUGGUAAUGUUUUAUGACAAGGAAAAUACAAGGCAACUUAAGGAGGUCACAGACACAGGACACGCGCCCAUCGACGCUCUUCCCGACGUCACGGUUCAUUUGUCUUUAACUUGUUUUGUUUUUUGUUUAGACUGUAGUGUCUCGUUGAGUUUUCUGGACGGCGCCACUUACGAAAUUAAUUGUCUUAUGAAUUUUGAAGAUCACCUUAUUUUAUUCUAGACUCGGUAUUUUCUAUGAGGUAGUCCUUUCUUACAAACUUACUCACGUCCAAUACUCAAUACAAGACUCGUCUUCAAAACCGUUGUUUUCCCCUUACUUUUCAUAUGCCACAUUUAUAUUCCUAAUUGAAUUUACCCACUUUAGUCAAACAAUAGUUCGAAAUUUAGUUUCUUUGAUCUAUUUUAUCGUCUCCAAAAUUAAUUUCUUUGUUGCUGGAUUUAUUAGCUGGUUGUAAGCGGAUCUCCUAAAAUAUCGAAUUUUCGAGAGCGAAGCCGUCGGUGAGCUAGCUCUAUAAAAGCGAUUAUAAACAUCGCUAUACAAACAGACGAGUGCACACGAGGCCUAUUACGAGUGAGUGCACCCGCCACACAGCCUCGUAACUGUUAACACCAUAUAAUGCCGAUGGAUCCAAUGUAGGUCGUGGUUCAUCUGCAAAUACUCGACCUUCAAUCAAGUGACUCCGGACAUCAUGAAAGCUUCCCUUAUACUACACCAAGAUAAACUUAACAUUGGUAAUAUAACGCAAUAAAAUCAGGAUUCUCUUCUCUGUUGGAAGUCACCGCUGCUACUGAAACAAUCUGUUUUUCUUAUUACUUUAUUACUUGUCGGUGGAGUUUAUUACGCGUGUGUUAUAUUAUUAACAUAUAAUAUAUUCGACUGUCUUCAUUGUUCGCCGAUGUGAGAUCACAGCGUUGUGUCGUUAUUCAACUCCUACCUUUAUUAUUAUAAGUCUGCAUCGCACACUUCUCACAGAGCGUCUAUCGUUUCUCAUUCAAUAAGCUACGUUGAUACUAUGCUCUGCGAAAGUUUAUGACUUUAUGUUUAGCUGUUAACUCUGCGUCUGGUUCGCGACGACGCGGACUUACGAUAAUCAUGGUGCUUUAUAAAGUUAGGUAGUUCGUCUUUCGAUCACAUAUCGAUUUCACUACACUAAUGCCUGCACUAUACUAUGCCGAUUGCUAUUGCUAUUAUUUUAUGUAACUUUUCCCAUCCUUGUAUUUGUAUGUUUUUCAUAUAAUACUAUUUUUGUUUCUUUGAACAAGAGAAACAUGAAAGAAAUCUGGAUGUCUACAUUAUUAAACAUGUUUAUUAUUUCAUAGAAUUUAGCUAUUCAUUAUUAUUACUCACGAUUUGAUUGUUUUUUUUUUUUUAAUUUUUCACUACAAAAUCUAAACAUUCUCUUCGAGUCUCUUGUACUAAAUCUGUUUGGCAGAAAUCCCAAAUAAACAAUAGUAUUGUUCUUUUGUUUAACUUCAACUGCUUUUUGUUCUUUUGUUUGUUUUUUUUCUAUCGACAGAAAAAUUAUAAAGGUAUUUAUUAUAUUAAAUGGGAUUUCAUUAAAA